UGGGGGAACAACUGUUGGAUGUUUCUGGCACCUUUGAGCUCGUUAAUCAUAGCUGUGAACUCAGCCCCACCCAGGCAUGAUGUAGGGCUGCCAGGUGUUUAUCAUUAAUCCUCCUGAACUAUUGGGCUCUCCCACUGAAGUGAUUCUGUUGGUUCUGCUUCUCAGUUUCGCUGUGUCACAGUGUUAGGAAGGGGUUUUGGUGUAUUGUGUUCUGUUGCGUGUGGCCAACUUUCCAGACUUUGGAGCGUGCUACUGGAAUACUCUUGGAGGUUCUGUACCUGUACCUGAUGUCACUGGCAGGCUCCACCUGCAGGCAGGUGUUCCAUGACCAAGGACUUCUUUCCCAGCUCAGUUCUGAGAUAUUUCUACUGAAAGAAAAUUCUGUAACUUCAAAAAUGGCAGUCUUCCAGAAAUGGAAAUACAUUGAUCAACAGGAAACCUAAGGUCUAAAACUGCAAAGGAUUGCAGCUACAGAUUUAUGGAGAAUGAAUCAUACUGUCUGGAGAUUCACAGAAUUCCUAUCAAAAAAAUGAAACUUUAUGCCAAGCUACUUCAAGGAGAAGAUUGUGAGAAUGAGACAGUCCUUAUAAAAAUGAACAUAAUCUGAGAGCAGAGGUGAAACGAUACCAAAAGAAUCAGGUAAGAAAGAGGUAUUUUGCUGUUUUAGCCUGUUUAUUUAUAGCAGUAUAUGGUCUACAGCCAGGAGACAACUUUGGGUCCAUUGGAGAAAGUUCCUAGGCAUUCCCCAUCAGGCACGCAGGGAAAGCAAUGAGAUAACUUGUUGAAUAUUAGAGACUGAAUCGAUCUCAAGUUCUUUGACAGAACCCAGAGCAAACACGAUUUGCUGGAGCUGCUAAGUUCAAACAUGUUCCUGAAUGUCUCUGUACCUCAC
rnacentral:lncRNA from 1 species